AGUGAACGCUGGCGGUAGGCCUAACACAUGCAAGUCGAACGGCAGCACAGGAGAGCUUGCUCUCUGGGUGGCGAGUGGCGGACGGGUGAGGAAUACAUCGGAAUCUGCCCAGUCGUGGGGGAUAACGUAGGGAAACUUACGCUAAUACCGCAUACGACCUUCGGGUGAAAGAGGGGGAUCGCAAGACCUCUCGCGAUUGGAUGAGCCGAUGUCGGAUUAGCUAGUUGGCGGGGUAAUGGCCCACCAAGGCGACGAUCCGUAGCUGGUCUGAGAGGAUGAUCAGCCACUGGAACUGAGACACGGUCCAGACUCCUACGGGAGGCAGCAGUGGGGAAUAUUGGACAAUGGGCGCAAGCCUGAUCCAGCCAUACCGCGUGGGUGAAGAAGGCCUUCGGGUUGUAAAGCCCUUUUGUUGGGAAAGAAAUCUUUCAGGCUAAUACCCUGGGAGGAUGACGGUACCCAAAGAAUAAGCACCGGCUAACUUCGUG
rnacentral:rRNA from 1 species